AUAGUAUAAAAAAUUUUAUUUUAUAUCGUAUAAAAAAUUUUCUAUCAAAAUUUCACGUGAUUUGAAUAUUUUUACACCGUUAAACUUGUAAACGGCUCACCACGGUCAUUAAAAUUAUUGAUUUUGAGCUCCUUUGAUCACUAGGCAAAUGAUAUCGAAAAAUCACAAAAUUUAUUUUCUAGGUACUUCAAAUACUCUAGAUCAAGUUUAAUGAAGCCGAUCGUCGAUUCAAAAAUUCCAAGAUUAAAAACGACUUGAAAGCACGGAAGACUCCGUGCUUUUGGAAGUAUAUCAGCUCAUUCAAAAUAUAAUAUAAUAGACUAUAAUUAAGCCAAAAAGUUUUAUUAUUUCGAGGCCAAGCAUUUCCGGAUGGAAUGUCACAUUGAAUGUCACGCAAUAAAGAAUAAUAAAUAAAAGAAAAAACUUCAAAAACCCCCCUGUGGUUUCAUACUUUUUCAUUUUAGUACCCUAUAGUUUAAAGUGUAUCAAAUUAGUACUUGUGAUUUCUCACUUUAUCACUUUAGUACCCUGUGGUUUAAAGUGUAUCAAGUUAGUACUCUAUGAUUUUAUUUUUGUAUCAAAUUAGUACCAUGUGGUUUUAUUUUUGUAUCAAGUUAGUACCCUGUGAUUUUUAAACCACAGGGUACUAGAGUGAUAAAGUGUGAAACCACAGGGUACUAAAGUGAUAAAGUGCAAAAUCACAGGGUACUAACUUGAUACACUUUAAACCACAUGAUACUAAAGUGAUAAAAUGAGAAACCACAGGGAACUAACUUGAUACAUUUUAAACCACAGGUUACUAAAGUGAAAAAAAAAA
rnacentral:lncRNA from 1 species